ACGGGGCCCGCACAAGCAGCGGAGCGUGUUGGUUUAAUUCGAUGCAACGCGAAGAACCUUACCAGGGCUUGACAUGCUUGAAGUAGAAACUCGAAAGAGGGACGACCUGUAUCCAAUCAGGAGCUUGCACAGGUGCUGCAUGGCUGUCGUCAGCUCGUGCCGUGAGGUGUUAGGUUAAGUCCUGCAACGAGCGCAACCCUCGUCGCUAGUUAAUUUUCUAGCGAUACUGCCCGUAUAACGCGGAGGAAGGUGGGGAUGACGUCAAGUCAGCAUGGCCCUUACGUCCUGGGCUACACACACGCUACAAUGGGUGAUACAAAAGGUUGCAAUAGAGUGAUCUGGAGCUAAUCCUGAAAAUCAUCCUCAGUUCGGAUUGUAGGCUGAAACUGCCUGCAUGAAGUUGGAGUUGCUAGUAACCGCAGGUCAGCACACUGCGGUGAAUACGUUCUCGGGCCUU
rnacentral:rRNA from 1 species